UGCGGAGGGAUCAUUACCGAGUUUACAACUCCCAAACCCCUGUGAACAUACCAAUUGUUGCCUCGGCGGAUCAGCCCGCUCCCGGUAAAACGGGACGGCCCGCCAGAGGACCCUUAAACUCUGUUUCUAUAUGUAACUUCUGAGUAAAACCAUAAAUAAAUCAAAACUUUCAACAACGGAUCUCUUGGUUCUGGCAUCGAUGAAGAACGCAGCAAAAUGCGAUAAGUAAUGUGAAUUGCAGAAUUCAGUGAAUCAUCGAAUCUUUGAACGCACAUUGCGCCCGCCAGUAUUCUGGCGGGCAUGCCUGUUCGAGCGUCAUUUCAACCCUCAAGCCCAGCUUGGUGUUGGGACUCGCGAGUUAAACCGCGUUCCCCAAAUUGAUUGGCGGUCACGUCGAGCUUCCAUAGCGUAGUAGUAAAACCCUCGUUACUGGUAAUCGUCGCGGCCACGCCGUUAAACCCCAACUUCUGAAUGUUGACCUCGGAUCAGGUAGGAAUACCCGCUGAACUUAAGCAUAUC
rnacentral:rRNA from 1 species